rnacentral:rRNA from 1 species
UAGUGGCGAACGGGUGAGUAACACGUGGGCAAUCUGCCCUUCACUCUGGGACAAGCCCUGGAAACGGGGUCUAAUACCGGAUACAACCACUGACCUCAUGGUCGGGUGGUGGAAAGCUCCGGCGGUGAAGGAUGAGCCCGCGGCCUAUCAGCUUGUUGGUGAGGUAAUGGCUCACCAAGGCGACGACGGGUAGCCGGCCUGAGAGGGCGACCGGCCACACUGGGACUGAGACACGGCCCAGACUCCUACGGGAGGCAGCAGUGGGGAAUAUUGCACAAUGGGCGAAAGCCUGAUGCAGCGACGCCGCGUGAGGGAUGACGGCCUUCGGGUUGUAAACCUCUUUCAGCAGGGAAGAAGCGAAAGUGACGGUACCUGCAGAAGAAGCGCCGGCUAACUACGUGCCAGCAGCCGCGGUAAUACGUAGGGCGCAAGCGUUGUCCGGAAUUAUUGGGCGUAAAGAGCUCGUAGGCGGCUUGUCACGUCGGGUGUGAAAGCCCGGGGCUUAACCCCGGGUCUGCAUUCGAUACGGGCUAGCUAGAGUGUGGUAGGGGAGAUCGG